ensembl:lncRNA RMST rhabdomyosarcoma 2 associated transcript
UUGUCUGCAAGUGAUAAAUGGUGCCGAGCAAUUCAUCAGUUCUUACAAGUAAACACUGCUGUCCCACUAAAAAUAUGUUUUGUUCUGAGUUAAUGGUAUGGAACAAGGCAGCCUCCACAAACAGCUAUCUUUUAUUGUGGAGGGGCCACUGAAACUUGGAGCAAAGUGGAGGAGAUUGGCAUUCAUUUUCUUGUACAUUAGCAUUUCAUUUGUGAUUCGGAUGAUGCAGCUCUAGGUGGAUUGACUAUGAAAGGCGCUGAAUAUCUUCAGGAAAAUGGGUUCCAUGAGAAGUGACAUCCUCCUCGAAUCAAAAGACUUGAGGUUAACAUGGGCAUAAUGUUCUGGAUGAAGCUUUGGAAGUACUUGUGAAGGAUUCUCAGGAUGAUGGAGUGAGUGAUGGAAUAGGUUGCCAACUGUAGUUACUCCACUCAGCACAGAAUGGCUGCGGGGAAAUAUAAUCAGACAUGCCCAAAGAAGUCUGCUUAGGGUGAAACAAAUACCUUUGAGGUUUAAAUCAGAAAGGAAGGAGAGACUGUUUCUACAGGUGUCAUACAAAAAUCAAUACUGAGCCAAGGAUUAUUGGAUCCCAUAGAACCACGGAGACUUGGUAGUGAAAUUCUUCCAAAGCAUUCCAUCCGUGCAGGCAGAUGGUGUUCCUAGGUUUGGAAAUAUAAAUCCCAUGGGAAGUCAGCUGAAGACCAUUUUAUGCAUCACUCAUCCUGUUAGAGCCCUGUGCUGUUCUGUCUCUCUAUAAGACUGGCUGAAACCACCACGGUUGUUUACAAUUUAUGCUCUAACUUUGGAUCACCUAGUUAAUACUCUAACUCCGAUUAUUACCAAAGACAAUGUUCUAUAAAAGAUAUUGUCUAUUAGAAGGAUGCUUCUGCAUUAUUAAUAAAAUCACAGGGAAAAUGCAACAUUUUGGAUGUCACAUCUGAUAAGUUGGCAGUUAAAGAACAGAAACAGCAAUAAGACUGCGUGGCUACAUUUUCCCAGUGCCACCAACUGGGAUUUAAGCUGACUAACAUUUUGAAAGCCCAGCCCAUUUCAUUCACAGCAGGAUGGCAGUGGGUGACUGAUCGUACCCGCCAGCUGGCUAAUGUCAUAAUUAACAAAGUUGCUACUACAUCUGCAAAGUUUAAUCGAAAAAUUUGCCAGUGAUAUGAUGGCCUUGUCACAGAGAUCACAAGGGACACGGAGUUGACUUUUGCUCAAGGUGGAACGACAGAGCUGUGUAGGCAAGAUGAGAAAUUGCGAACUUGUUCGGCCAAAGGAGGCUAAUAAUGAAGGGGCCGGGAAGGAGGCCAGUGCUACCAGGGUUAUCUCACAACCUCAGAUGCUGGAUAAGUCGACGGAGGCAGAAUCGCUUUGGGAUGACAUUCAGAAAGCCUGGAGUGAUUACUUGCAAGAGAAAAGCCUACCUAUUCUUUCCAAGGUGCAGGAAUAUUCCCCUGACCUGCUCAUCCAGUGGUCCAGUAAUGAAUUACUGGAGACCUGCCUUAGACAAAGAAUGCACUCGGAGCCCCAACACACCUAAAGCCAUGCUUUGAAGGAUCUGCCAAGCUCACUUUUAAUCAUGAGAAAGAAAUUACCCACACGGAGUCAGCAGAAAAUGAGAAAGUAGAGCUCGUGCUGUGAAUAAUUCCAGCAAGUGCCAAGGGGCUAGUUGAGGAAUGGCUUCAUGAGCUUUAAUCAAAUUACCCUUUGGCUUCAACUAUGAGAGCUUUCAGAUCUUCUAGCCCUUAAAAUUCAGGCAGAAUUUUAUCUUCAUCAGCCACAAGAACUACAGAGCUGUAAAAAGAUCAAACACUAGCUGAAUUGCUGGGGUUGCAAAGAGGAAUAAAACCGUCACCUGCUUGGAGGACGUCAAAAUCUACAAAGAAGAGGAGAAAUGUGAGUUACUGUUCAUAAAGCAUACUCUGGGGUUUGAGAAAAAGUUGCUUGCAAAAACUAAGUAAACAGACAGCUUUGGAAUGUUGAUUAAGGACGGGGAAACUAAACCAGGAUUUGUUGUUGGAUAAUCAAAUUUUAUAUUCACAACUGAUGGAGGAGCAGAAAUGAUGUCAAAGGAAAUGGAUUUGUCUGGAAGGAAGGACUAA